GGAGAUAUAGCUCAGUUGGUAGAGCGCUUGCCUCACAUUCACAUGGCCCUGGGUUCAAUCCCCAGCACCACCA
rfam:Ictidomys tridecemlineatus contig045800, whole genome shotgun sequence.